UGAAGGGGGAGGUAUUGGCGUGCCUCAAUCUGAAGACAUGGCUGGAUAUGCUCAUACAGCCAUGUAGUUGGAUUGAGCCGCGUCAAUAUCUCUCCUCUACGA
rnacentral:pre_miRNA from 1 species